UUUUCUCUUCAAAGUUCAAACGAUAAAACCUUAAUUCAGGAGUAGGGGAUCAAGCUCGUCUUCCUUUGCAAAUCGAUAUGGUAACGUCUACUCUCUACCGAGGGAUGUCCAGGAGAGACAAACCUAGAGGACGCCAUCAGGGGUUAACUCAACAGAAAAAGCAGGAGAUUAAAGAAGCUUUUGAACUUUUUGAUACUGAUGGAUCUGGAACAAUUGAUGCAAAAGAGUUGAACGUUGCAAUGAGGGCUCUUGGUUUUGAAAUGUCUGAAGAGGAAAUUACUCGAAUGAUAGCUGAAGUUGACAAGGAUGGCAGUGGUGCAAUUGACUUUGAUGAAUUUUGUCACAUGAUGACAGCCAAGUUUGGAGAAAGGGAUACCAAAGAAGAACUCAUGAAAGCUUUUCACAUUAUUGACCAAGAUAAAAGUGGCAAGAUCUCUACUGCAGAUAUUCAGCGCAUAGCCAAAGAGUUGGGUGAAAAUUUCACCGAGAAAGAGAUUCAGGACAUGAUUGAUGAAGCAGAUCGUGAUCGUGAUGGUGAAGUAAAUGCCGAUGAAUUCAUGAGGAUGAUGAGGAGAACAUCAUACGGAUACUAGAUUCUUUAUAGAUUCAAACAGCGUCUGGUCAGAGAAGAGGACUCCUGCCCGUCUCUGCAGGGCGCUGAAGUAGUCAGUGUCGAAGGUGUUUCUGGUCGAAUCAAAGGGCUGCUCCGCGUCAUCCCCAGUGGCGCACGUCUUGGACAGGGUCUUGGCGAAGGAAGUCUCAAUAGUGGGGUCCGCUGCAUCCAGUCGGGACUUGAAAGACGAACAUCUCGCCACACCCAGCGUGUGCGCUCCUGUAUGACAAGUGAAGCCGCGGUUGCCGAAGAGGGUGAUAAGUUGGGAAGAGUUUAAGGUUGGUGAGGGCAGAUUAAUGGUGUCUUCUAUCUUUGAUCUUGUUCCAUCUCUUCUCCCUUUAGGAAUCUCAUAAAAUGGACCACUAGCC